AUUGAACGCUGGCGGCAUGCCUUACACAUGCAAGUCGAACGGCAGCGCGGGGCAACCUGGCGGCGAGUGGCGAACGGGUGAGUAACAUAUCGGAACAUACCCUAGAGUGGGGAUAACGUAGCGAAAGUUACGCUAAUACCGCAUACGCACUAAGGUGGAAAGUGGGGGAUCUUCGGACCUCAUGCUCAUGGAGUGGCCGAUAUCUGAUUAGCUAGUUGGUGAGGUAAAGGCUCACCAAGGCGACGAUCAGUAGCUGGUUUGAGAGAACGACCAGCCACACUGGAACUGAGACACGGUCCAGACUCCUACGGGAGGCAGCAGUGGGGAAUUUUGGACAAUGGGGGCAACCCUGAUCCAGCAAUGCCGCGUGAGUGAAGAAGGCCUUCGGGUU
rnacentral:rRNA from 1 species